rnacentral:tRNA from 1 species
GGGGCCGUAGCUCAGAUGGGAGAGCGCUUGAAUGGCAUUCAAGAGGUCGUCGGUUCGAUCCCGAUCGGCUCCA